CCUACGGGUGGCUGCAGUGGGGAAUUUUGGACAAUGGGGGCAACCCUGAUCCAGCCAUGCCGCGUGCGGGAAGAAGGCCUUCGGGUUGUAAACCGCUUUUGUCAGGAGAGAAAUCUCUUGGGCUAAUACCCUGAGAGGAUGACGGUACCUGAAGAAUAAGCACCGGCUAACUACGUGCCAGCAGCCGCGGUAAUACGUAGGGUGCAAGCGGUGCGUGGAGUUACUGGGCGUAGUGGUUGAACACACGGGUGAAAUCCCCGGGCUUAACCUGGGAACUGCACUUGUGACUGCACGGCUAGAGUACGGCAGAGGGGGAUGGAAUUCCGCGUGUAGCAGUGAAAUGCGUAGAUAUGCGGAGGAACACCGAUGGCGAAGGCAGUCCCCUGGGCCUGUACUGACGCUCAUGCACGAAAGCGUGGGGAGCAAACAGGAUUAGAUACCCCUGUAGUC
rnacentral:rRNA from 1 species